UACGGGGGGGGUAAGCGUUGUUCGGAAUUACUGGGCGUAAAGGGCUCGUAGGCGGCCAACUAAGUCGGACGUGAAAUCCCUCAGCUUAACUGGGGAACUGCGUCUGAUACUGGAUGGCUUGGAUUUGGGAGAGGGAUGCGGAAUUCCAGGUGUAGCGGUGAAAUGCGUAGAUAUCAGGAGGAACACCAAUUGCGAAGGCAGCUCGCUGGGACGUGACUGACGCUGAGACGCGAAAGCGUGGGGAGCAAACAGG
rnacentral:rRNA from 1 species